rnacentral:rRNA from 1 species
GACGAACGCUGGCGGCGUGCUUAACACAUGCAAGUCGAACGAAGGGGCGAACGGGUGAGUAAGGCGUAAUCAACCUGCCCUUCAGAGGGGGAUAACAGGUGGAAACGACUGCUAAUACCGCAUACUGAAGGAGGGGAGUGCGUCUGAUUAGCUAGUUGGAGGGGUAACGGCCCACCAAGGCGAUGAUCAGUAGCCGGUCUGGGAGGAUGAACGGCCACAUUUGGACUGGGACACGGCCCAGACUCCUACGGGAGGCCGCAGUGGGGGAUCUUCCGCAAUGGACGAAAGUCUGACGGAGCAACGCCGCGUGAGUGAUGACGGCCUUCGGGUUGUAAAGCUCUGUUAAUCGGGACGCGGUACCGGAAUAGAAAGCCACGGCUAACUACGUGCCAGCAGCCGCGGUAAUUC